GACAGAGGGUGCAAACGUUGUUCGGAAUUACUGGGCGUAAAGCGCGUGUAGGCGGCAAGCCAAGUCGGGUGUGAAAGCCCUGGGCUCAACCCAGGAAGUGCAUUCGAUACUGGCAAGCUAGAGUCCCGGAGAGGAUGGUGGAACUCUCGGUGUAGAGGUGAAAUUCGUAGAUAUCGGGAGGAACAUCUGUGGCGAAGGCGACACCCUGGACCAGCACUGACACUGAGGCACGAAAGCGUGGGGAGCAAACAGG
rnacentral:rRNA from 1 species